rnacentral:rRNA from 1 species
CAGUAGCCGCGGGAAUACGUAGGGUGCAAGCGUUAAUCGGAAUUACUGGGCGUAAAGCGUGCGCAGGCGGUUUUGUAAGACAGAGGUGAAAUCCCCGGGCUCAACCUGGGAACUGCCUUUGUGACUGCAAGGCUAGAGUACGGCAGAGGGGGAUGGAAUUCCGCGUGUAGCAGUGAAAUGCGUAGAUAUGCGGAGGAACACCGAUGGCGAAGGCAAUCCCCUGGGCCUGUACUGACGCUCAUGCACGAAAGCGUGGGGAGCAAACAGGAUUAGAUACCCCAGUAGUCCCUGUCUCUUAUAC